rnacentral:misc_RNA from 1 species
GUAACAAGGUUUCCGUAGGUGAACCUGCGGAAGGAUCAUUACUGAGUGCGGGCUGCCUCCGGGCGCCCAACCUCCCACCCGUGACUACCUAACACUGUUGCUUCGGCGGGGAGCCCUCUCGGGGGCGAGCCGCCGGGGACUACUGAACUUCAUGCCUGAGAGUGAUGCAGUCUGAGUCUGAAUAUAAAAUCAGUCAAAACUUUCAACAAUGGAUCUCUUGGUUCCGGCAUCGAUGAAGAACGCAGCGAACUGCGAUAAGUAAUGUGAAUUGCAGAAUUCAGUGAAUCAUCGAGUCUUUGAACGCACAUUGCGCCCCCUGGCAUUCCGGGGGGCAUGCCUGUCCGAGCGUCAUUGCUGCCCAUCAAGCCCGGCUUGUGUGUUGGGUCGUCGUCCCCCCCGGGGGACGGGCCCGAAAGGCAGCGGCGGCACCGUGUCCGGUCCUCGAGCGUAUGGGGCUUUGUCACCCGCUCGAUUUAGGGCCGGCCGGGCGCCAGCCGACGUCCAACCAUUUUUCUUCAGGUUGACCUCGGAUCAGGUAGGGAUACCCGCUGAACUUAAGCAUAUCAAUAAGCGGAGGAAAAGAAACCAACCGGGAUUGCCCCAGUAACGGCGAGUGAAGCGGCAAGAGCUCAAAUUUGAAAUCUGGCCCCUCCGGGGUCCGAGUUGUAAUUUGCAGAGGAUGCUUCGGGUGCGGCCCCUGUCUAAGUGCCCUGGAACGGGCCGUCAGAGAGGGUGAGAAUCCCGUCUUGGGCAGGGUGCCCGUGCCCGUGUGAAGCUCCUUCGACGAGUCGAGUUGUUUGGGAAUGCAGCUCUAAAUGGGUGGUAAAUUUCAUCUAAAGCUAAAUACCGGCCGGAGACCGAUAGCGCACAAGUAGAGUGAUCG